rnacentral:rRNA from 1 species
UAAUACGUAUGUCUCAAGCGUUACCCGGAAUCACUGGGUGUAAAGGGUUCGUAGGCGGUUUAAUAAGUUGGACAUGAAAGACCGGGGCUCAACCCCGUGUUUGUAUUCAAAACUGUUAAACUAGAAUCAGGGAGAGGUAAGCGGAAUUCUGUGUGUAGGGGUGCAAUCCGUAGAUACACAGAGGAACACCAAAAGCGAAGGCAGCUUACUGGAACUGUAUUGACGUUCAUGAACGAAAGCGUGGGUAGCGAAAAGGAUUAGAUACCCUUGUAGUCCACGCCCUAAACGAUGAUAACUAAGUGUUGCGACUAGCUCGCAGUGCUGUAGCUAACGCGUUAAGUUAUCCACCUGAGGAGUACGGUCGCAAGAUUA